rnacentral:rRNA from 1 species
UUUGCUCCUGAGAUCGAUGUGAGGCCAUCCGCCGAAUUUAAGCAUAUAAUUAAGCGGCAGAAAAGAAAAUAACCAUGAUUCCCUU